rnacentral:ncRNA from 1 species
CAAAAUCAGCGGGAAGAGAAGACCCCAUUGAGCUUGACUCUACUCUGACUUUGUGAAAUGACUUGAGAGGUGUAGAAUAAGUGGGAGCCGUUUUCGGCGCAAGUGAAAUACCACUACUUUUGACGUUAUUUUAGUUAUUCCGUGGAGCGGAGACGGGGCAUCGCCCCUAUUUGUGGCCUUAUGACACGUUUCGAUGGGCUGAUCCGGGCGGAAGACAUUGUCAGGUGGGGAGUUUGGCUGGGGCGACACAUCUGUUAAAAGAUAACACAGGUGUCCUAAGAUGAGCUCAAUGAGAACAAAUAUCUCGUGUGGAACAAAAGGGUAAAAGCUUAUUUGAUUUUGAUUUUCAGUACGAAUACAAACCGUGAAAGCGUGGCUAUUGAUCCUUUAUACUUUCAUAAUUUGAAGCUAGAGGUGUCAGAAAAGUUACCACACAGAUAACUAGCUUGUGGAAGCCAAGUGUUCAUAGCGACGUUGCUUUUUGAUCCUUCGAUGUCGGCUCUUCCUAUCAUUGUGAAACAGAAUUCACCAAGUGUUGGGUUGUUCACCCACCAAUAGGGAACGUGAGUUGGGUUUAGACCAUUGUGAGACAGGUUAUUUUUACCCUACUGAUGAACUGCGUCGCAAUAAUAAUUCAACUUAGUACGAGAGGAACCGUUGAUUCACUCAAUUGGUCAUCACGCUUGGUUGAAAAUCCAGUGGCGCAAAGCUACCGUGUGUCAGAUUAUGAUUGAACGCCUCUAAGUCAGAAUCCACACUAGAAGUGGUGCUUGUCACUCCUCGACUGUAUCUCGACCCACAGUAGGGUCGUCGCUUCGGAACCCCCAGGGGCCCAUGUCACUUGCGAACCUUGGUCGGGAAGCGUUUCAGUCGGGGCAACUUUGAAGUUCAAUUUCAAACGGUCGUUGAGGAGAAUCCUUUACAAACGACUUAAAUACGCGACGAGGUAUUGUAAGUGGCAGAGUGGCCUUGCUGCCACAAUCCACUGAGAUUCAGCCCUUCGUUGCCUCAAUUC